rnacentral:tRNA from 1 species
GUGCUUUUAGUUUAAUGGAUAAAACGCCAGUCUUCUAAACUGGUUAGUGUAGGUUCGAAUCCUUCAAGGCACA